rnacentral:rRNA from 1 species
AUUGAACGCUGGCGGCAGGCCUAACACAUGCAAGUCGAACGGUAACAGGAAGCAGCUUGCUGCUUUGCUGACGAGUGGCGGACGGGUGAGUAAUGUCUGGGAAACUGCCCGAUGGAGGGGGAUAACUACUGGAAACGGUAGCUAAUACCGCAUAACGUCGCAAGACCAAAGAGGGGGACCUUAGGGCCUCUUGCCAUCGGAUGUGCCCAGAUGGGAUUAGCUAGUAGGUGGGGUAACGGCUCACCUAGGCGACGAUCCCUAGCUGGUCUGAGAGGAUGACCAGCCACACUGGAACUGAGACACGGUCCAGACUCCUACGGGAGGCGGCAGUGGGGAAUAUUGCACAAUGGGCGCAAGCCUGAUGCAGCCAUGCCGCGUGUAUGAAGAAGGCCUUCGGGUUGUAAAGUACUUUCAGCGGGGAGGAAGGGAGUAAAGUUAAUACCUUUGCUCAUUGACGUUACCCGCAGAAGAAGCACCGGCUAACUCCGUG